AAGUUCAUGUUCAAAUUCUAAGUUCAACUUCAAAUUCUAAUUAAGUUCAUGUUCAAAUUCUAAGUUCAACUUCAAAUUCUAAUUAAGUUCAUGACAUUCAAACAUUCAUCUUCUACUCAUAACACUUCAAUUACUAAUUUCUAACUUCAAAUUAACACUUUACUAACUAGUCCUAAAAUCAAAUCCAAAAAAAUCUCAAUUUAACCUCAAAUUACAUAUUCUCAAGUUUAAACUAGUUCUAAAAUAUAAAAAUGCUAAUUCUUCACUAACUAACAAUGCCCAAUUUAAAAAUGCCUAAUUUCUUUUUAAAAAAACCUUAAAAUAAAAAUCUUCAAUUAUCUAUACCUAACUAACAAUAAUCAAAUCAAAUUAACAAUUGAAUAACACAACCAACAAACAAAAACAAUAAUAUACUAACAAACAAUCAAUUAUAAUUACUAGCAUUAAAGCCAAGUAUUAAUACUAGAUGGACACAAACACAUUAUUGAAAACAAUUGUACUUGAACUUUAGAAAUUUAGAAGCACCAACCUUAUCUCCAACUUUGAUGAAAGAAGCAAAAUAAACUUGUAUCAACUUUUUUACAUGUUGAGCUUCCUCAGUUGCCUAGCACGAAAAGUUCUUAAAUUAGUUAAAUAUAAACUUCAUAUCCAAGAAUAUUAGUUUAUAUAUAUAUAUAUAUAUAUUCUCAAGUUUUAAUAAGUUCAAGUUUCAAUUCAAGUUCAUAUAUAAUUUCUAAACUUAAUUAGUUAUAUAUUCAAGCUAAUUAGUUCCAAGUUCAAGUUAUAAUUUCAAGUUCAUAUUCCUAAUUAAGUUCAAUUUAUAGUAAAUUCAAGUUAUAAUUAAUUAUAAGUUCUAAUUAAGUUGUAAUUCAAAUCCCUAAAAUUCUAAAUUCAAACUAGCUAGCUAGUGUCCCAACUUCAAACUAUUAAAUUAGUCCUAAAAUAUCAAAUAUAAUUCAAACUAUUAGUCCUAAAUUCCAAAUUCAAAUUAGUCUUAAAAUCACAAAUUGAAAGUACUCCUAGAAUUCAAAAAUCAAACUAUAGUGCUAAAAUCCCAAAUUCAAACUAUUAGUAUUCCUAAAAUCUUAAUUAUAAUUCAAACUAGUCCUAAAUUCAAAAUUCAAACUAGUCUUAAAAUCACAAAUUCAAACUAGUCCUGAAAUCCCAAAAUCUAACUAGUGCUAAAAUCCUAAAUUCAAACUAGCUAGAUAUUCCUAAUCCCAAAUUCAAACUAUUAGUCCUAAAAUCUCAAUAAUAAUUCGAACUAACUCAAAUAAUACCCAAAUUCAAACAACUACUUAAAUACCCUAAUUCAAUCUAAUCUUUCAAUUCCAAAAUCAAACUAAUUAACUCAAGAAAUACCGAAUUUCAAACAAAUCCUAAGAUACCCUAAUUCAAACUAACCCUAACAUUAAAAUUUUCAAUUCACAAUCAACAAACACAAACUAACAAUCAAAUAAUCCCUAAUUCAAACUAACAAUCAAAAAUCCUAAAUCAUUCACUUACUAACUAACAAUCAAUCAAUAAAAAACUAAUUCAAUACACUAAUUAACAAAUUCAAUACUCAAAUUGAAAGAAAUUAAAAAUAAUAUUAUGAAACCCUAACCUUGAAUUAAAGGAGAAGGGUAGUGGGUCGAGGUCGGGGUCAGUUGCCUAGCACGAAAAGAAACAAAUGUUAAUCGGUGUGUGUGUAUGUUCGACUAACAUUAAGAGUAAUAAGAGCACAAGCAAAUUCUGGACAAACAUAGGAACCUUAGAUGGUGAAAUAUAAAUUGAACUAAGUAUAUUAGUACUCUAAUUUUGAGAUACUUCAACUAAAUAGAAACAAAAGAAAUCUGUUAUGGAGGUUCUAAAAAUUCACCUUGAGUAAGAAGGUCGGGGAUGGUGG
rnacentral:lncRNA from 1 species